CCUAAGGGGGACCCAGGUGCUCAGCAAGGAUGUUCAGAGGAAGUGGGACCAGCCUGUCCCAAUAGUCCCGGAUUGCAUUUUAGAGACCUGCUAGGAGCACUUUUGGAAACUGAACUGUGUGUGAAACCGAAGAGCCGAGAACCACUGCUCUGAGGAAAGAGGGAUCAGCAGGCAUAACACCAAGCCACAGGAGUCGUGGAUGUGUCUGAUGGAAAAUGCGUGUCACUUCCAUGAGGUCUGCCCAUACCAUCCCUGCCAGGGCCAAAGAGAACCCCCAAGAGACCACGUGACGCCAGGACCGAGGGAUUCCCGGAUGGAAAACAGCUGGGAUCAUUCUCAAGGCCCCCCUCAUAAAUAUGCAAACACA
rnacentral:lncRNA from 1 species